rnacentral:rRNA from 1 species
GAUGAACGCUAGCUACAGGUUUAACACAUGCAAGUCGAGGGGCAGCAUGGUCUUAGCUUGCUAAGGCCGAUGGCGACCGGCGCACGGGUGAGUAACACGUAUCCAACCUGCCGUCUACUCUUGGACAGCCUUCUGAAAGGAAGAUUAAUACAAGAUGGCAUCAUGAGUCCACAUGUUCACAUGAUUAAAGGUAUUCCGGUAGACGAUGGGGAUGCGUUCCAUUAGAUAGUAGGCGGGGUAACGGCCCACCUAGUCUUCGAUGGAUAGGGGUUCUGAGAGGAAGGUCCCCCACAUUGGAACUGAGACACGGUCCAAACUCCUACGGGAGGCAGCAGUGAGGAAUAUUGGUCAAUGGGCGAGAGCCUGAACCAGCCAAGUAGCGUGAAGGAUGACUGCCCUAUGGGUUGUAAACUUCUUUUAUAAAGGAAUAAAGUCGGGUAUGCAUACCCGUUUGCAUGUACUUUAUGAAUAAGGAUCGGCUAACUCCGUGCCAGCAGCCGCGGUAAUACGGAGGAUCCGAGCGUUAUCCGGAUUUAUUGGGUUUAAAGGGAGCGUAGAUGGAUGUUUAAGUCAGUUGUGAAAGUUUGCGGCUCAACCGUAAAAUUGCAGUUGAUACUGGAUAUCUUGAGUGCAGUUGAGGCAGGCGGAAUUCGUGGUGUAGCGGUGAAAUGCUUAGAUAUCACGAAGAACUCCGAUUGCGAAGGCAGCCUGCUAAGCUGCAACUGACAUUGAGGCUCGAAAGUGUGGGUAUCAAACAGG